AGCGAACGCUGGCGGCAGGCUUAACACAUGCAAGUCGAGCGGGCAUAGCAAUAUGUCAGCGGCAGACGGGUGAGUAACGCGUGGGAACGUACCUUUUGGUUCGGAACAACACAGGGAAACUUGUGCUAAUACCGGAUAAGCCCUUACGGGGAAAGAUUUAUCGCCGAAAGAUCGGCCCGCGUCUGAUUAGCUAGUUGGUGGGGUAAUGGCUCACCAAGGCGACGAUCAGUAGCUGGUCUGAGAGGAUGAUCAGCCACAUUGGGACUGAGACACGGCCCAAACUCCUACGGGAGGCAGCAGUGGGGAAUAUUGGACAAUGGGCGCAAGCCUGAUCCAGCCAUGCCGCGUGAGUGAUGAAGGCCCUAGGGUUGUAAAGCUCUGUUGUGCGGGAAGAUAAUGACGGUACCGCAAGAAUAAGCCCCGGCUAACUUCGUGCCAGCCGCCGCAGUAA
rnacentral:rRNA from 1 species